rnacentral:rRNA from 1 species
AGUCGCAACGAUUGCGACCCCAGGUCAGGC